AAGCUUGCUUGUUGGGGUUGUAGGACACUCUAUACGGAGUUACAAAGGACGACAUUAGACGAAUCAUCUGGAAAGAUGAAUCAAAGAAGGUAAUAAUCCUGUAGUCGAAAAUGUUGUCUCUCUUGAGUGGAUCCUGAGUACGACGGAGCACGUGAAAUUCCGUCGGAAUCUGGGAGGACCAUCUCCUAAGGCUAAAUACUCUCUAGUGACCGAUAGUGAACCAGUACCGUGAGGGAAAGGUGAAAAGCACCCCGGAAGGGGAGUGAAAUAGAACCUGAAACCGUGUGCUUACAAGUAGUCAGAGCCCGUUAAUGGGUGAUGGCGUGCCUUUUGUAGAAUGAACCGGCGAGUUACGAUUUGAUGCAAGGUUAAGCAGUAAAUGUGGAGCCGUAGCGAAAGCGAGUCUGAAUAGGGCGUUUAGUAUUUGGUCGUAGACCCGAAACCAGGUGAUCUACCCUUGGUCAGGUUGAAGUUCAGGUAACACUGAAUGGAGGACCGAACCGACUUACGUUGAAAAGUGAGCGGAUGAACUGAGGGUAGCGGAGAAAUUCCAAUCGAACCUGGAGAUAGCUGGUUCUCUCCGAAAUAGCUUUAGGGCUAGCCUCAAGUGAUGAUUAUUGGAGGUAGAGCACUGUUUGGACGAGGGGCCCCUCUCGGGUUACCGAAUUCAGACAAACUCCGAAUGCCAAUUAAUUUAACUUGGGAGUCAGAACAUGGGUGAUAAGGUCCGUGUUCGAAAGGGAAACAGCCCAGACCACCAGCUAAGGUCCCAAAAUAUAUGUUAAGUGGAAAAGGAUGUGGCGUUGCCCAGACAACUAGGAUGUUGGCUUAGAAGCAGCCAUCAUUUAAAGAGUGCGUAAUAGCUCACUAGUCGAGUGACACUGCGCCGAAAAUGUACCGGGGCUAAACAUAUUACCGAAGCUGUGGAUUGUCCUUUGGACAAUGGUAGGAGAGCGUUCUAAGGGCGUUGAAGCAUGAUCGUAAGGACAUGUGGAGCGCUUAGAAGUGAGAAUGCCGGUGUGAGUAGCGAAAGACGGGUGAGAAUCCCGUCCACCGAUUGACUAAGGUUUCCAGAGGAAGGCUCGUCCGCUCUGGGUUAGUCGGGUCCUAAGCUGAGGCCGACAGGCGUAGGCGAUGGAUAACAGGUUGAUAUUCCUGUACCACCUAUAAUCGUUUUAAUCGAUGGGGGGACGCAGUAGGAUAGGCGAAGCGUGCGAUUGGAUUGCACGUCUAAGCAGUAAGGCUGAGUAUUAGGC
rnacentral:rRNA from 1 species